GAUCAGCCGUACUCCAAUCAUCUGGUNUAAGAGUUUGAUCAUGGCUCACAUUGGACGUNAAGGCGGCAGGCCUAACACAUGCAAGUCGAACGGUAACAGGAAGCAGCUUGCUGCUUCGCUGACGAGUGGCGGACGGGUGAGUAAUGUCUGGGAAACUGCCUGAUGGAGGGGGAUAACUACUGGAAACGGUAGCUAAUACCGCAUAACGUACGCAAGACCAAAGAGGGGGACCUUCGGGCCUCUUGCCAUCGGAUGUGCCCAGAUGGGAUUAGCUAGUAGGUAGGGGUAACGGCUACACCUAGGCGACGAUCCCUAGCUAGGUACUAGAGAGGAUGACCAGCCACACUAGGAACUAGAGACACGGUCCAGACUCCUACGGGAGGCAGCAGUGGGGAAUAUUGCACAAUAGGGCGCAAGCCUAGAUGCAGCCAUGCCGCGUGUAUAGAAGAAGGCCUAUACGGGUNUGUAAAGUACUUUCAGCGGGGAGGAAGGUGUUGAGGUUAAUAACCUACAGCAAUUGACGUUACCCGCAGAAGAAGCACCGGCUAACUCCGUGCCAGCAGCCGCGGUAAUACGGAGGGUGCAAGCGUUAAUCAGAGUUUAACUAGGGCGUAAAAGCGCACGGCAGNGGCGGGUCUUGUCAGUCGGAUNGUGAAAUCCCCCGGGGCUCAAACUGGGGAACCU
rnacentral:rRNA from 1 species